UACGUAGGGGGCUAGCGUUGUCCGGAAUCAUUGGGCGUAAAGCGCGUGUAGGCGGUCCGGUAAGUCCGCUGUGAAAGUCGGGGGCUCAACCCUCGGAUGCCGGUGGAUACUGUCGGGCUUGAGUGACGGAAGAGGCGAGUGGAAUUCCUGGUGUAGCGGUGAAAUGCGCAGAUAUCAGGAGGAACACCAAUGCGAAGGCAGCUCGCUGGGACGUUACUGACGCUGAGACGCGAAGCGUGGGAGCAA
rnacentral:rRNA from 1 species